rnacentral:rRNA from 1 species
CCUACGGGAGGCAGCAGUCGAGAAUCAUUCACAAUGGGGGAAACCCUGAUGGUGCGACGCCGCGUGGGGGAAUGAAGGUCUUCGGAUUGUAAACCCCUGUCAUGUGGGAGCAAAUUAAAAAGAUAGUACCACAAGAGGAAGAGACGGCUAACUCUGUGCCAGCAGCCGCGGUAAUACAGAGGUCUCAAGCGUUGUUCGGAAUCACUGGGCGUAAGGCGUGCGUAGGCUGUUUCGUAAGUCGUGUGUGAAAGGCGCGGGCUCAACCCGCGGACGGCACAUGAUACUGCGAGACUAGAGUAAUGGAGGGGGAACCGGAAUUCUCGGUGUAGCAGUGAAAUGCGUAGAUAGCGAGAGGAACACUCGUGGCGAAGGCGGGUUCCUGGACAUUAACUGACGCUGAGGCACGAAGGCCAGGGGAGCGAAAGGGAUUAGAUACCCCAGUAGUC